rnacentral:rRNA from 1 species
AACAAACGCUGGCGGCGUGCCUAAUACAUGCAAGUCGAACGGGGAAAGCUUUCGGGUGAGUACUAGUGGCGCACGGGUGAGUAACGCGUGGAUAAUCUGCCCUAGAGUGGGGGAUAACUAGUCGAAAGAUUAGCUAAUACCGCAUAAGACCACAAGAACUGCGGUUAAAGGGGUCAAAGGUUUUUCGCUCUAAGAUGAGUCCGCGUAAGAUUAGCUAGUUGGUAGGGUAACGGCCUACCAAGGCGACGAUCUUUAACUGGUCUGAGAGGAUGAUCAGUCACACUGGAACUGAGACACGGUCCAGACUCCUACGGGAGGCAGCAGUAGGGAAUAUUGCACAAUGGAGGAAACUCUGAUGCAGCGACGCCGCGUGAGUGAUGAAGGCCUUCGGGUCGUAAAGCUCUGUCGCAGGGGAAUAACACAAUGAAGGUACCCUGUAAGAAAGGAUCGGCUAACUUCGUGCCAGCAGCCGCCGCUGUAA